UUCUCUGGCUCCCUGGAUUGGCCUUUUCCAUCACAGUCCUUGCCAUGAAUUGUGGUCUAGACUUAGGUCUGUAUUAUCUACCAAGGCCAGUGUGCUUAGCUUUAACUGCCAUCUUGACAUGACCUAGAAUCACCUAGGAAGAGAGUCCUUUGCAAGGAAUUCUCUACCUCGGGUUGGCCUGUCGGCAUGGUGGGAUGUGACAGAUUGUCCCUCUUAUCAACUGAGUUGGGAAGACCCAUCCUGGUGGUGUGUGAUAGCCCUUCACACUAAUCCAUGGACGGUGUAAGAGUAGAGAGAACUAUCUGAGUAGUAAGAGGAAGAGCAAGCAAGGAUCUAUGCAUUUCUUCUUCCUCUGCAUUCCUGCCUUGACUUCUCCAUAAUGACUGAAACCUUCAACUAUAAGCCAGGGCAUUUGUCAUACGAGCCGAAGUGAAACGAGAGCAGAGGUUGUCUCCAUUUUGCUUGCUUUGGAUCUCCAAGAGUCAGCACAAGGCCAACACGCAGCUCUAGGAAGAGUGAAGCCUUCGGUUUAUGUCACUGUUUAUAACAGACACAGUAUGUCAGAUCUAGCUCACGUCCAUUUAGAUUUCCUCACUACGUACACCACAGCACCAUGGGAAUCCACAAACCUUCGCAAAAGCAGCCGCUUGUUCCCUUGAGACAAUCACUGAAAGGAGCUGAUUCCUGAAUGUUGAAGAUCCACCUUCUUGUUUAAAGAAGAUAAUUAAUCAGAAACACUCAAGAGAGGAAAAGAUGGAAGAAAAGAGGGGGCUACGAAGGGAGGGGUGCGGAAGGGAGCAAGAAAAACCCCUGCAAUGUUUAACCAGACUUUGUCUCCCAGGGACUUCUCUGUUCUGAGGCUGUCAUCCAACCAGUUUCCUGGGCCCGCUCUUUUAGCUCUUUUCGUAUCCCUGCCAAACUAUCCCUGGGAAAGGCAGAAGCUAGACACUCUAAAUCCCAAGGUUUAAGAUGAUAAAGACCCUCAGAGGCUGGUGCGAGCCUUUCAGGCCUUUUUGUUCGCUGUGCCUUUGUUUCAGCAAUUUCUCCCAUCUCAAAGGAUUUUCAGCGGCAUCAAGAGCCUGACACUUUGCCCGUCCUCGUCCCCGUUCUCACAGACAUCUCCAGAAGAACCUGAAGUCACUUCUAACAGUAUCUCUCAAGACCGAUACAGUUGAGCUCCAUCUGCCCUUCUAACAUCGGCGGCCUGGCAACAGUGUCUUGCUAAGCUGGGAAACAUGGUAUGGUGAGAAGGUCUCUAACUUCGGUCAAGACUCAGUUCUGCCACUCUCCACAAUGACUCUGGGCAAGCUAUAAUUCCACAGGUGCUUCAGAGCACUAUCCCAGCAUGGCCUUGUCCUGGACUGCAUGGGGUUCAUUCUUCAUCCUCAAUGGUCAGGAGCCACUUCCAACAGGUGCCCAGGGAGGACAAAGGAUCCAGGUAUGCUUGUCUAGUUCAGGUUUGAGGUUAUCAGUUAUUUCUUUGUAGCUUCAUAGCUUGAAAUCUAAAGAGAAGGCUUAGAUAGGUUUCUACUGUACCUGCUUGUAUUCUAAUGCCAAUUACGUUCCCCAAAAACAUGUUUGAAGGAGAACACACGUAGCUUCUGGGUACCUGCCCCCAGUUGAUGCUGAUUGGUAAGUAAAGAUGCCAACAGCUAAUAGCUGAGCAGGGCGGACAGAGGAGGGAUUUUAGGAUCCCCAAGCUUGGGGCCAGGAAAAGAAGAGGGAGAAGGAGAUCCGCCAAGGCCAGAGAGCAUGGAGGAGAGAAGAGACGUCAUGCCUGAGAAGAAUGCAGGACAAAGAAACAUGGCCACCAUGGGAAGGAGCCGGCAGAGCACAGUCCAGCAGGCUGCCCAACUUGGGUCCAGAGCAGUAAAAGGUAGAACACAGAAUUUAGGAAGUAGUGACGCAGAAUUAUCGGCAGGAGGUGCAUUCGAUCAGCUGUAGCAGUUAGGCAAAGGCCCAGCUAUUGUGCUGAUUAAGGCAUAUUAAAAUAUAAAGGCUGUGUGUGAAUGUCUUUCAUUUGGGAACAUAAACCAUUGGGUCAGGUAGCGAACCCACUGCUGGGAUUUAUUUAUUUAUUAAUAUGUAAUUCAACAUUCCACCACUCAUUAAAUACAUGACUUGUAAGAGGUGAACUUUGCUAAUACAAACAUCUUGGCUGGUGAUAGGUUUGUAUCUGCUAUACCCAGAAGAUAUGCAAAAGAUCAUAAGUCAAACAUGCAAUUCCCCUAACCCACUGAGUAUCUUGACUUAGGCCAGUCUAUCUUACAUGUGUUCAUAACAUAUGCAUUAUAUUUUGGUUGGGCAAAGCCAUCUAACAGAAGGCCUACUUUAUAAUGAAGGACCGAACAUAUCUCAUAUGCUUGACUGAAGGUGAAAAUCAGAAUGGUUAUAUGCUGUGCUUUCAUUCCAUUAUAAAACUGAGAUCAGUUAAGUUGAACCAUCAUAAGCCAGGAGCUGUAUGUGCUUAGCUUCAUCAUCCUCAAAACGUAAAUAUUAAUCCUCGUGGAAUUGAUAGGACAAGCCAAAGUACAUGGGAAGCACUUUUCCUAGCAAGAAUUAAAGACUAACGGCAGCUAUACUUCUCAUAGCGCCUUCUAGUAUCAACUCUACUACAAUCUUACAUAAAAAUAAUGAAUAUGUGUAUUAAAGGGACCUGAGGUGAAUCACAGGAAAGUAGAAGCUAUUGACUUAUUCAGAACUGUGGGAUUGGAUGCUUGGACUUUUAUUCCCACUGUAACCAUGUUUCUAAAACACAGAUCAGAAUUUAAAAAGGAGACUCAGGUGGUUCAUUUACUGAAACUCCGGGGAACAGAAUGUUUAAUUUACUGCUCUCCUAUUUAUUUGACUCACACACAGGCUUCACUUUUCCUGAUGGAGCAAAAGGAGUAUCAGGAGAUAAAUGGUGAUGCCAGACUGGAUCUCAGACAACACUGGAAGCAUCUCCAGGCUUUCCUAACACCAGAUUAAUCCAUAUGAAUGGAAAGGACAAUUCAUUUGUCCUUCCCUGUGACCCUCAUUCUGUCCCAGAUGGACCACGCUAAAGAGGAUGUAGAGUAUGAAGUCUGUCUGAAUAUGUGAAAGGACUGACACCAGGGUUGUUGUGAAGCUGUGGGGCCUUUGUUGAGCCAGAGAUACGGCUUGAAGGGAGAAAAUGAAACAUAGGUUGUGGCUCAGUUCUCAGCUAAGUACCCAGUACCCAGUUGAGUAGAGUAAGUGAGCUGCCUAUGCAAGUCAGCCAGAGGAAGACACAGAUGUCAGGGAAGAAGCAGGGCGUGGCUCCACCUAAAUGAGGAGGGGGAGCUCUAUGCCUGGCUGGGAGACCCUGUGGGUACUGGUGAUGACCAGCCCACACUCAGCCCUGAGCCAUAAAGACACAAAAGAAACCCCAAAGGAAGGAACGAACUGACUUGUCAAUCAUUCCCUACAGUUUUUAUUGAAGCAGGUCUGCCCAGCCUCUGCCUGCCUGCAGGAACUUAGAGACACACUAGCACUCUAUGGACGAGCAAAGACCAAAGUCAGGAGCAGAUCUUCAUCAAAUGGUGAGGAUUCCAUCUCAUCAGCCAGAGCAGUCAUCAACGAAGCCAAGGACAGCUCUCACAAGUUGUCCUUGAACCUCCACACACGGGCAUAUAUAUGACUAAAUUUAAUUUGUUAAAGCCAAAUUUUUUUAAAAAUUAAAAAAAAAACAAGCAAAAUUGUGGAGACUUUAUAAUUUAUGUUUAAUGCCAAGAAUGCCUCAUGCCAGAUAGUCGUCAGAACUUUCAUACAUUGCCACAGCUAAUGACCACCAUAACCAUGUUCUAUGACACAGAGGCAUUGAUACCCAAAAUGGCAGGGACUACUAUAAAAGUGACAGAAUCAGCUUUGGGUUAUUGUAGAAAAGAGCUAGGAAAUGGAGUUGGCAGAGCAUCUAGAGCCAAGGUCUUGUGCUCCUUGGUCUCAGCCAAGGAGGGUCUGGUAUUCUAUACAGAGUCAACCUGUUCUCACCAGAUGUGAGGUUAAACAGUGUCCUACAACAGUAGUUCUCAACCAUCCUGAUGCUAAAACCAUUUGAUGUAGAUUUUUAUGUUGUGGUGACCCUCAAACCAUAACAUUAUGCUGUUGCUACUUCACAAUAAUAAUCUUGCUACUGUGAUAGAUCGUAUGAAGAAUAUAUGAUAUGUGAACCCCAUGAAAGGGUCGUUGGGAUCCCCAAAACGGUUGGGACCCACAUGUAUAGAACCUACUAUCUUAAGGUCUCCCUUAAGACCUUAAGAAGGAAGAAAAAAUGGGGAGAAGAACUUUGAGGCACCUUAAACAAAGCAGCAAGGACUGAGAAGUCUAUAUCGUUACCAUCUUCUCUGCCCUAGAACACUCACAAUGUCCUCAGGAGGCAGAAAUUCUCACCUCCAUUUGAAUAAUCAUUGUAACGUUGAUACAUGUGAAUAAUACUCAUAUGAUUUAUACUUUAUCCUAAAUAAUCCUGACAUCAGGACUCCCAUCUUUCGUGAGAUGCUGGCUUCCAUCUUCCUCCUCUCUACCUAAUAGACUCACUCUCUCUCUCUCUCUCUCUCUCUCUCUCUCUCUCCCUUCAAAGUCUCAAUCUGAAACCCCAGCCCACAGAUAGUCCUUCUUGUCCUUCUUUUGGGAACUGGCAGCACAAAUUUUUUUCAACUUGCAAUGGUUACAUGCUGAUAAAUCACACUGCAAGUAUCACAGGUUAAAUGCAUGUAACCCACCCAAGCUAUUGAGCAUCACAACUCAUGAACAGCCCUGCUUAGAGCAGUUUUAAUUUCCCUUUGUGGCCAUGAGCUAUGUGGGAGCAGCAGAGGCCACUGUCCAGUAUCACGAGAGUGUGUUGGGAACAUCUACCUGGGCUCUCUCUCCUAUGCUUUGUCAGUCUUCUCUUAGGAUUUGGCCCUGGCUCCUGUUAACCUCUGUGACAGUUGGGAACAACAGCUUGAGAAAGUAACAUCAAGUUAUAGCAAGGAUUGGACAUGCUGAAGAGCUGUCAUAUUCUGGUCUCUGGGUGAAGUUCCUGGCAAGCACAGAGCUACCUAAGAUACUAGUCCUGCCUGGAUGUGCCUCUUGUUUCUGGAACUUUCACACGUAUGCUUGUUCUCUUCUUUAAGGCUUCCUGUCUCAAAAUAGGUUCAUUCCUGGAUUCCCCAACACAAGGCACAAAACGCUCAGCACAGUCCAGGGCUUCGUAUACAGCAAGAGCUCAAUCACUAGUCAUACAGCAAGUGCUUAAUCGCCAGGCAUACAACUCAAUCACCAGUCACAGGCUCCUCCCAUUAUUGAAUCAUGUUUCAUGUCAUUCACAGAAGCUUUCUCAUGAGCCCUGUGAUUCACAACUGCAUGGCUCACUGUUUCCUAGAGCCCCAUAUCACAUUGAACCCACUGGAAAUACAGACCAGUGAGUGAGAUGGAUGAGGGCUCUGGGCAAGUGGGGGGUGUAGGUUAGGUCCAGGAAUUACCUAGAAAAUAUGUUUGUGUGUGUGUGUGUGUGUGUGUGUGUGUGUGUGUGUGUUGAGAGUACACAUGUCAGGAUACACGUGAUACACAUGUGGAGAUUAGAGGACAACUUUGCCGAGUUGAUUCUCUCUGUCUACCUUUACAAGGAUAAAGUCUAGUUCAUCAGGCUUGUACAACAAGCACCUUUACCCACUGGGCCAUCAUGCUGGCCUUUGCCUAGCAACUUCGAAUGUUAACAUAUGCACUCAGACUUUUGUUCAACUGAAGGUGAGGUAAGGCGAUCACAGUGUCUCUGAGAAAGAUGGGAAACCCAGGGAAACUGAGCAUGGCUCACUGUCUCCUACAGCCCCACACCACGUUGAACCCACUGGAAAUAGAGCAUUGGAGACCAUGCAGCUAUUUGCAUAGAAAUUCCAGGGAGCGCUAGGAGUCGAUAGGACUGCCCACCUAAGUAGCAAAGUAAGAUGCUGGGGUGGAAGUAGGAAAACAUGAGUGUGAGCACAUGUGUCAAUUACCCUUAAAAAAUGUUAGGGAGACUGAUGAGGAGGGACAGGAAACAGAAAGUGCUAAGGUUCAGCGAUUACCCAAAAAGAAGCCAGCAGAUGCAUAAAUGUGUCGUCCCACUGUUCUCUAGGCUGGUAAGGCAUUGAGACACAAACAUGAUUUGUGCAAGCUUUUAGGAGAAAUUGAGACUUGCGGAGGAUACAGAGCUUAAUAAUUCAGUUCUCCCUAAGAUUCCCAGCUCAGUGUCUGCCCUGACUUUUGCCUGGUAGCUUGUCGCUGCCACCUGGCUGACAGCUUGAUGCAGGCCUGUCACCUUUGAGCAUCUGAUUGUGAGGCUCAGCCUCCUGGGAUCAGAGCAGAACAAUAGCCUCAGUCCUCAGGGGCUGACGCUAAGCACCAAACACUGGUCAGCUCCAAACACUGGUUGCCAUUCACUUCAGAACGCCUGCUGCUGUGCAUGCUAAUCCAAAUUGGGUUCAAGCCCCCAGCCUCUGCCUCCAUUGUUGGGCCAUACUUUUCAUUCAGCAUGAGAUCGGAGAUCUGCUGAAACCUCAUGUUGCCAAUAAGAGGAGAAGAGAUUGCAUUAAUCUCAAUAAAAAUGAGUUCCUCUUAAUUUUUUUGUCCUAGAAAGAAAGGAAGGGCAUAAAAACAUUACACUUGCCUCUAGAGAGAGGGAGAGAGAGAGAGAGAGAGAGAGAGAGAGAGAGAGAGAGAGAGAGA